rnacentral:rRNA from 1 species
AGCGAACGCUGGCGGCAGGCCUAACACAUGCAAGUCGAACGAACCCUUCGGGGUUAGUGGCGGACGGGUGAGUAACACGUGGGAACGUGCCUUUAGGUUCGGAAUAACUCAGGGAAACUUGUGCUAAUACCGAAUGUGCCCUUCGGGGGAAAGAUUUAUCGCCUUUAGAGUGGCCCGCGUCUGAUUAGCUAGUUGGUGAGGUAAUGGCUCACCAAGGCUACGAUCAGUAGCUGGUCUGAGAGGAUGACCAGCUACAUUGGGACUGAGACACGGCCCAAACUCCUACGGGAGGCAGCAGUGGGGAAUCUUGCGCAAUGGGCGAAAGCCUGACGCAGCCAUGCCGCGUGGAUGAUGAAGGUCUUAGGAUUGUAAAAUCCUUUCACCGGUGAAGAUAAUGACUGUAGCCGGAGAAGAAGCCCCGGCUAACUUCGUGCCAGCCGCCGCAGUAAGAC